rnacentral:rRNA from 1 species
GACGAACGCUGGCGGCGUGCUUAACACAUGCAAGUCGAACGGAAAGGCCCUGCUUUUGUGGGGUGCUCGAGUGGCGAACGGGUGAGUAACACGUGAGUAACCUGCCCUUGACUUUGGGAUAACUUCAGGAAACUGGGGCUAAUACCGGAUAGGAGCUCCUGCUUCAUGGUGGGGGUUGGAAAGUUUCGGCGGUUGGGGAUGGACUCGCGGCUUAUCAGCUUGUUGGUGGGGUAGUGGCUUACCAAGGCUUUGACGGGUAGCCGGCCUGAGAGGGUGACCGGCCACAUUGGGACUGAGGUACGGCCCAGACUCCUACGGGAGGCAGCAGUGGGGAAUAUUGCACAAUGGGCGGAAGCCUGAUGCAGCAACGCCGCGUGCGGGAUGACGGCCUUCGGGUUGUAAACCGCUUUCGCCUGUGACGAAGCGUGAGUGACGGUAAUGGGUAAAGAAGCACCGGCUAACUACGUG